rnacentral:lncRNA from 1 species
UGCCUAUCUCCUUUGUCAUCCUUCCCCCUACCUCAUUUUUUGAGGAAAUGCCUGCUUUGUGAAAUUGUGGGUAAACAGAUCUCUGGGCCCACUCAAAGGGUGGUUCCUGAUCCCACUCUGGAGACGGCUGCCUCUGACUCUUGGCUUUCCUCAUCUGACCUCGCCUCAUUCCUAGCCACUCAAUCAAAGGAGACAGAGAGAGAGAGAGACUGACUUGGAAGGAGAACCAAAAGGAAAAGGAGACUAAAGUCGUUUUAUUCUAGAUGUUUUCGGACAGGUGUUCACGUCAUCUCCAGAUUCCAUGAAGAGAUAAUCUCCAAGGUAUCCCUCAAGUUAAAGAGACGGCACUUCUUCCCUCCCCCGCCUUUCACCACGCACCAGUGCCAGCCGGGGGAGGAGACGGCUGAGAGAAGAGGGAGGAAGGGGGAAAAGUGAGAGAAGCAAGAUGAGAAAGGGGUGUUGAAGGGAGAGAUGAAGGCAGGAGGAAAGGAGUGUUAGAGGUGGUGGCGAGCUUCUGGCGACCGCCCGCCCGCGCUCCGGACCCAGCCGGGCGCGGCCCCCGAGCCCCGCGGCGAGCAGCCCAGCCCGCGGCCCCGAGAGCAGCCCGGACGCGACUCUCCGCCCGGCAGCGACCGGCGCUCCGCGCGGUGACCCCCGCCCGCGCACCCCCGGACCUGGAGCGCCGCCUUCCCGGCUCCGGACUGCUGCGGGCCAGCGCUCCCGGGAUUGGGAUACAGUCACUGGCGGUUCAGAGCCUGGGAGAAUUGUCAGCUUUAUUCUGACUUAAAUCUGAGGCAAGCAAAGCUAUUUAUUUUGAGAUAUCUGGAAAGAAACCAGACUGAAGCCUCCAAGAAGGCCCACUCGAAAAGAAUCUUAGUGAUAUAAUAAUUCCUAAUAGGAACUCACCCAUGAGGGAGGAGAGAUGUUAAGGGUGAGUUAGCUGGGGAUGGAGGAAGCCACUGCUAAUCAAAACACCAACCCUAUAAUUUUCUAUCUCCUCUCAAUGGAAGAGGGACC